AGAGCAUUUGACUGCAGAUCAAGAGGUCCCUGGUUCAACUCCAGGUGCCCCCU
rnacentral:tRNA from 1 species